rnacentral:rRNA from 1 species
GAUUAACGCUGGCAGUGUGUAUAAUACAUGCAAGUCGACUGCAUUUAGUUGCAGGGCAGACGGGUGAGUAACACGUUGGUUAACUGCCCCGAACUCAGGGAUAACAUCGAGAAAUCGGUGAUAAUACCGGAUAGUCCCGCAAGGGUAAAGAUUUAUCGGUUCGGGAGGUGCCUGCGUAGUAUCAGCUUGUUGGUUGGGGUAACGGCCCACCAAGGCUAUGACGCUUAGCUGGUCUGAGAGGAUGAUCAGUCACAAUGGAACUGAGACACGGUCCAU